UACGGGGGGGGCAAGCGUUGUUCGGAAUUACUGGGCGUAAAGGGCUCGUAGGCGGCCAACUAAGUCAGACGUGAAAUCCCUCGGCUUAACCGGGGAACUGCGUCUGAUACUGGAUGGCUUGAGUUCGGGAGAGGGAUGCGGAAUUCCAGGUGUAGCGGUGAAAUGCGUAGAUAUCUGGAGGAACACCGGUGGCGAAGGCGGCAUCCUGGACCGACACUGACGCUGAGGAGCGAAAGCCAGGGGAGCAAAGCGGG
rnacentral:rRNA from 1 species